CCUACGGGAGGCAGCAGUGAGGAAUAUUGGUCAAUGGACGCAAGUCUGAACCAGCCAUGCCGCGUGCAGGAAGACGGCUCUAUGAGUUGUAAACUGCUUUUGUACGAGGGUAAACUCAGAUACGCGUAUCUGUCUGAAAGUAUCUUACGAAUAAGGAUCGGCUAACUCCGUGCCAGCAGCCGCGGUAAUACGGAGGAUUCAAGCGUUAUCCGGAUUUAUUGGGUUUAAAGGGUGCGUAGGCGGUCGGAUAAGUUAGAGGUGAAAUCCCGAGGCUCAACUUCGGAAUUGCCUCUGAUACUGUCCGGCUAGAGAGUAGUUGCGGUAGGCGGAAUGUAUGGUGUAGCGGUGAAAUGCUUAGAGAUCACACAGAACACCGAUUGCGAAGGCAGCUUACCAAGCUACUUCUGACGUUGAGGCACGAAAGCGUGGGGAGCAAACAGGAUUAGAUACCCGAGUAGUC
rnacentral:rRNA from 1 species